CGGCGAACGGGUGAGUAACACGUGGGCAACCUGCCCUCAGCUCUGGGAUAACUCCAAGAAAUUGGUGCUAAUACCGGAUGUGACCGCUGACCGCAUGGUCUGGUGGUGGAAAGAUUUAUCGGCUGAGGAUGGGCCCGCGGCCUAUCAGCUUGUUGGUGGGGUGAUGGCCCACCAAGGCGACGACGGGUAGCCGGCCUGAGAGGGUGACCGGCCACACUGGGACUGAGACACGGCCCAGACUCCUACGGGAGGCAGCAGUGGGGAAUAUUGCGCAAUGGGCGGAAGCCUGACGCAGCGACGCCGCGUGAGGGAUGACGGCCUUCGGGUUGUAAACCUCUUUCAGCAGGGACGAAGCGGAAGUGACGGUACCUGCAGAAGAAGCACCGGCCAACUACGUGCCAGCAGCCGCGGUAAUACGUAGGGUGCAAGCGUUGUCCGGAAUUAUUGGGCGUAAAGAGCUCGUAGGCGGUCUGUCGCGUCGGCUGUGAAAACCCGAGGCUCAACCUCGGGCCUGCAGUCGAUACGGGCAAACUAGAGUGUUGCAGGGGAGACUGGAAUUCCUGGUGUAGCGGUGAAAUGCGCAGAUAUCAGGAGGAACACCGGUGGCGAAGGCGGGUCUCUGGGCAACAACUGACGCUGAG
rnacentral:rRNA from 1 species